CUUGCUGGAAGUUUGUUUUUGCUCUACAGGAUUGAACCGUCUCUGUGUCUUGCUUUGAGCGCUGCUGUUGGGUGCUGUGAGUGGACCUCAAGUAAGCUCCGUUUUUGAAACAUGGCUACAAGUGGGAAGACCAUCAUAUUGAAGAACAUUGUCAAAGUUCUAGAAGACAUGAAAGGCAUGAAAAAAUUCAUAUUGGAGAGAAACCGUAUGAACGUAACCAAUGUGGUAAAGCCUUUGGAAGUGACAAUCAUCUCCAAGUACAUAAAAGAACAAAUACUGGAGAGAAACCUUAUGAAUGUAAUCAAUGUGGUAAAGCCUUUUCACAACAGAGUAGUCUCCAGUAUCAUAAAAGAACACAUGCUGGACAGAAACCUUAUGAAUGUAAUCAGUGCGGUAAAGCCUUGUCAUGUCAAAGAAGUCUCCAAUAUCAUAAAAGAACACAUACUGGAGAGAAAACUUGUGAAUGUAAUCAGUGUGGUAAAGCUUUUGUAAGACCCAGUCAACUCCAAAAACAUAAAGGAACACAUACUGGGGAGAAACCCUAUGAAUGUAAUCAGUGUGGUAAAGCCUUUGCACAUCACAAUAAUCUCCAAUAUCAUAAAAGAACACAUACUGGAGAGAAACCUUAUGAAUGCGAUCAAUGUGGAAAAGCCUUUGCAGUUCAGUAUAGUCUCCAAUAUCAUAAAAGAAGACAUACUGGAGAGAAACCUUAUGAAUGUAAUGAAUGUGGUGAAACCUUUGCAUUUCAGUAUAGUCUUCAAUACCAUAAAAGUACACAUACUGGAGAGAAACCUUAUGAAUGUAAUCAAUGUGGUAAAGCAUUUCCACAUCACAAUAAUCUCCAAAACCAUAAAAGAAUACAUAGUGGAGAGAAACCUUAUGAAUGUAAUCAAUGUGGUAAAGCUUUUGCAAGAACCGGUCAACUCCAAACCCAUAAAAGAACACAUACUGGAGAGAAACCUCAUGAGUGUGAUCAAUGUGGUAAAGCCUUUGCACUUCAGUAUAAUCUCCAAAAACAUAAAAGAAUACAUACUGGAGAGAAACCUUAUCAGUGUACUCAAUGUGAUAAAGCAUUUUCACAACACAGUAGUCUUCAAUAUCAUAAAAGAACACAUACUGGAGAGAAACCUUAUGAGUGUGAUCAAUGUCGUAAAGCCUUUGCAUGGCAAUAUAGUCUCUAUAUACAUAAAAGAAUACAUACUGGAGAGAAACCUUAUGAGUGUAAUCAAUGUGGUAAAGCCUUUGCACAUCACACUAGUCUCCAAUAUCAUAAAAGAACACAUACUGGAGAGAAACCUUAUCAGUGUGAUCAGUGUGGUAAAGCAUUUGCUCAUCAAAAUAAUCUCCAAUAUCAUAAACGAACACAUACUGGAGAAAAUCCUUAUGAAUGCAAUCAAUGUGGUAAAGCCUUUGCAAGUCACACUCAUCUCCAAGUACAUG
rnacentral:lncRNA from 1 species